AGAGUUUGAUCCUGGCUCAGGAUGAACGCUAGCUACAGGCUUAACACAUGCAAGUCGAGGGGAAACGAUAGAGAAAGCUUGCUUUUUCUAGGCGUCGACCGGCGCACGGGUGAGUAACGCGUAUCUAACCUGCCCACCACUUGGGGAUAACCUUGCGAAAGUAAGACUAAUACCCAAUGACGUCUCUAGAAGGCAUCUGAAAGGGAUUAAAGAUUUAUCGGUGAUGGAUGGGGAUGCGUCUGAUUAGCUUGUUGGCGGGGUAACGGCCCACCAAGGCAACGAUCAGUAGGGGUUCUGAGAGGAAGGUCCCCCACAUUGGAACUGAGACACGGUCCAAACUCCUACGGGAGGCAGCAGUGAGGAAUAUUGGUCAAUGGGCGAGAGCCUGAACCAGCCAAGUAGCGUGCAGGAUGACGGCCCUAUGGGUUGUAAACUGCUUUUAUAAGGGAAUAAAGUGAGCCUCGUGAGGCUUUUUGCAUGUACCUUAUGAAUAAGGACCGGCUAAUUCCGUGCCAGCAGCCGCGGUAAUACGGAAGGUCCGGGCGUUAUCCGGAUUUAUUGGGUUUAAAGGGAGCGUAGGCUGGAGAUUAAGCGUGUUGUGAAAUGUAGAUGCUCAACAUCUGCACUGCAGCGCGAACUGGUUUCCUUGAGUACGCACAAAGUGGGCGGAAUUCGUGGUGUAGCGGUGAAAUGCUUAGAUAUCACGAAGAACUCCGAUUGCGAAGGCAGCUCACUGGAGCGCAACUGACGCUGAAGCUCGAAAGUGCGGGUAUCGAACAGGAUUAGAUACCCUGGUAGUCCGCACGGUAAACGAUGGAUGCCCGCUGUUGGUCUGAAUAGGUCAGCGGCCAAGCGAAAGCAUUAAGCA
rnacentral:rRNA from 1 species